rnacentral:rRNA from 1 species
CUCUCCUACGGGGCGCAGCAGUGGGGGAUAUUGCACAAUGGGGGGAACCCUGAUGCAGCGACGCCGCGUGGGCGAUGGAGUGCUUCGGCAUGUAAAGCCCUAUCAGCAGGGAAGAAAAUGACGGUACCUGACUAAGAAGCCCCGGCUAAAUACGUGCCAGCAGCCGCGGUAAUACGUAUGGGGCAAGCGUUAUCCGGAUUUACUGGGUGUAAAGGGCGUGUAGGCGGGCAUGCAAGCCAGAAGUGAAAUCUGGGGGCUUAACCCCCAAACUGCUUUUGGAACUGCGUGGCUUUAGUG